GGGGUUAUAGCUUAGCUGGUAAAGCGUUUCGUUCGCAAUGAAAAGAGCGCCGGUUCGAUUCCGGCUAACUCCA
rnacentral:tRNA from 2 species